ACGAACGCUGGCGGCAUGCCUAACACCUGCAAGCCGAACGCGACCUUCGGGUCUAGUGGCGCACGGGUGCGUAACGCGUGGGAACCUGCCCUUAGGUUCGGAAUAACUCCCCGAAAGGGGUGCUAAUACCGGAUAAUGUCUUCGGACCAAAGAUUUAUCGCCUUUGGAUGGGCCCGCGUUGGAUUAGCUAGUUGGUAGGGUAAAAGCCUACCAAGGCGACGAUCCAUAGCUGGUCUGAGAGGAUGAUCAGCCACACUGGGACUGAGACACGGCCCAGACUCCUACGGGAGGCAGCAGUGGGGAAUAUUGGACAAUGGGCGAAAGCCUGAUCCAGCAAUGCCGCGUGAGUGAUGAAGGCCUUAGGGUUGUAAAGCUCUUUUACCCGGGAUGAUAAUGACAGUACCGGGAGAAUAAGCUCCGGCUAACUCCGUG
rnacentral:rRNA from 1 species